UACGAAGGGGGGCUAGCGUUGCUCGGAAUCACUGGGCGUAAAGGGUGCGUAGGCGGGUCUUUUAAGUCAGGGGUGAAAUCCUGGAGCUCAACUCCAGAACUGCCUUUGAUACUGAAGAUCUUGAGUCCGGGAGAGGUGAGUGGAACUGCGAGUGUAGAGGUGAAAUUCGUAGAUAUUCGCAAGAACACCCGUGGCUAAGGCGGCUCUCUAGUACGGUACUGACGCUGAGACGCGAAAGCGUGGGGAGCGAACAGG
rnacentral:rRNA from 1 species